rnacentral:misc_RNA from 1 species
UUGUGGAGGAGGACGCCGAAGGUGGGGCUAAUGACUGGGGUGAAGUCGUAACAAGGUAGCCGUACCGGAAGGUGCGGCUGGAUCACCUCCUAACAGGGAGACAACAAAAUGUUUAAUAUUAUUAUUUUGUCACCUUAGGUCGAUCGGUAUCUCACGUUCUUAAAUAAUUAAGAAUUUCAUUUCCUAAGUUUUUCUAGGUCACACCCAUUAUUUUCCUGGGCCAUUAGCUCAGGUGGUUAGAGCGCACCCCUGAUAAGGGUGAGGUCCCUGGUUCAAGUCCAGGAUGGCCCAUAUCUCUAUGUUGGGGGUAUAGCUCAGUUGGUAGAGCGCCUGCUUUGCAAGCAGGAUGUCAGCGGUUCGAGUCCGCUUACCUCCACUGAUUACCACCUCUUCCAUAAAUGUAGAAAGGAAAAUUUUUGAGUUGUGAUCAAAUUCUGAACGAAUCUAGCUUCCUAAUGAAAUCAUUAAGAUGCUGGACUCAUUGAAUUAAUUUCAUUGUUUUCAGAGAACCUUGACAACUGCAUAGAUUAUUUUUAAAGACAAUAAGCAUCUUUAAUGAUGCAGAUUUAUUAUUUGUGCAAAUGCAUUAAUAACAAUUCUAUUAAGCUGAUGCUUCAAUUUUGAAGUUAUUGGUCAAGCUACAA